rnacentral:lncRNA from 1 species
AGGCAAGCAACGAAGACCAGAUGAAAUGCUGCUUGAAGGGCUGGCAUAUCUAGAAUUGGUGGUAGAAAUGGACCAUGAAGACUAAGUAACUGAGAAGAUUUAAUGCAGGGUGCAUAUGGAUUGAGUUCAGGGUGCGCUUUUCAUCCCUUUAUUACUAAUAUCCCAGCUGUCCAUCCUCCAUCCCUCCCCCAUGAUUUCCGCCAAGGACAAAGCAGGAAGGGCCCACAGAAAGUGCAACUCAAAAAGACAGGAAUAAACACUCUGAAGAAGCAAUUUUUGAUCAAUUGAAGUGAAAGCUAAUGAAUAAAUUAUUGGAUUGGACAAUCUUGAAAAGCAUCCUAUAUGCUUCCUCUUUGCUUGAAAGUUUGCUCAAGAAACACCAUGCAUAUUUGACAUCAUAAGGAAAGAAAUGGGCAGAACCAUACAUCCAACUUACAUUGCAAUUACUGCAGAGGAAGAGAGAUGGAGAAGUUAAAAUGAAACAUUUCAAGGAUGAAUGGGCACUGAAAAUUGGUAAAGUGGCAGAAAAGUCCAAGCUUGAAGAAUGAAAAAGUAAAUGUAUGGAGAAAAAGGAGUUUGGAAAACAGGAAAAAAAAAGAUAUUUUGCAGAAACAUCUGUUUGCUGUUGCUAAAAAUUUUAGCAUUUAAAUGUUCUCAUUUGGGCUCUGAAGUUAGCACUUCCUUGAAGUAGUUCACACCUUUGCUAUUGCUCCUGUUCAGCUACAGAUCAUUUUAUGCAAGGCUGAUUUUAACAAGAAAAUGGUGCAUUAAUUUAC